GUUCCUAAUCCUAUUUUGUCUCGAUCACAAGCUACUUGUUCCAUACUUAAAUACAUUGAAGAUAAGAUGACUACAGUGGUAACUAGUUAAGUCGGCUGAUUAAUGAGCCCAUUCGUUUCUCUGAGCCAAGAAUAUGGAACUAAUAUGUUUGGCACUGAAGAACACUACUGAAGAAGCUUGUUGCAAGUGACAACGCCAAUGGCUGCAGCUAGAUGCCAACCAGCGUAGAUGAAUGGUGUUUCAGGGAAAAGAUCGUCAGCUAUGAACAAAGCUCCACCCAAUGACGUAGACAUCUUGUGUUUAAGCUAGGCGAGAUUUGAGGGAAGAGAAACCUUGCUACGCUGAGAGAUCGAAGUCAGAGAGAAAAGCUGUGGAAGAAGACGAAGAGAAGAUCAACAACAGUCACCCAUCUUCUUCUUUCUUUGACUCCUUAAAGGCAUAUUCCAUAACGUUUGCCCGGUUCUCGUACCAGAUCCCGAUUUAAUUCCUUCCCGAUUUUUAGUCUCGGAUAUGGGCCCAUCGAGCCCAGUGUUUGUUGGCUGGAUUUGGAAAAGUUUAUAAUAUAGUCAAAGUUUAUAAAUUAACUAGGGAAACAAAAUGGAAAAACAAUUAAAAUAUAUUUUAAAUUUUAAUAAAAAAAAAUAUUUUAUUUUAUUUUCAA